UUGUUGAAUGUUGUGUAAAGGUUAGACCUUGACACUAGAUGAUGUUCCAGAGAAGAGUGGGAUGUUUGAAGAAGUGGGACGAUUUCUUCGGCCAGAUAAUCCAUCCUCAGUGAGCGGUCCACAGUUUGUGAAAUGUCCCACAGGUCAAACUGGAUGCAAAUUACUUAAAAAGAUUACUUUCCGUUUCAAAACUUCUGCUUAAAGGAAGCACAAUGUGAGAAGAUCACUGUCUCCAAGACACAUAACUUUGUAUGAAACUGUGUGAGUUCGUCCAUGCUUUACAGCCUUCCAGUUGAGAGUGAAACAUGGCACUCGUACUGUUGUCUUUGAUUAUCUCAUAAUAAAAAUGAUGAUUUACUUGA